UUACUUUGGCAGUACAUAUACUAAAAUUGGAACAAUACAGAGAAGAUUAGCAAUGGCCCCUGUGCAAGGAUGAUAUGCAAAUUCGUGAAGUGUCCCAUAUUUAA